GAUGAACGCUGGCGGCGUGCCUAAUACAUGCAAGUCGAGCGAACGGACGAGAAGCUUGCUUCUCUGAUGUUAGCGGCGGACGGGUGAGUAACACGUGGAUAACCUGCCUAUAAGACUGGGAUAACUUCGGGAAACCGGAGCUAAUACCGGAUAAUAUUUUGAACCGCAUGGUUCAAAAGUGAAAGACGGUCUUGCUGUCACUUAUAGAUGGAUCCGCGCUGCAUUAGCUAGUUGGUAAGGUAACGGCUUACCAAGGCAACGAUGCAUAGCCGACCUGAGAGGGGGAUCGGCCACACUGGAACUGAGACACGGUCCAGACUCCUACGGGAGGCAGCAGUAGGGAAUCUUCCGCAAUGGGCGAAAGCCUGACGGAGCAACGCCGCGUGAGUGAUGAAGGUCUUCGGAUCGUAAAACUCUGUUAUUAGGGAAGAACAUAUGUGUAAGUAACUGUGCACAUCUUGACGGUACCUAAUCAGAAAGCCACGGCUAACUACGUG
rnacentral:rRNA from 1 species